GGACAAUGCACCUAUAAGACCGAUGACCUGGAGGACCCACACGACCAACAAGAUACCUCUCCGCAGGGGGCACAAAAGGCACAGGCACUGAUUUUACGCACACAAAGACAAGGACACGAUGGAAGGCAGGGAGGUUGGUGACAAAGCGUGAGAAGUUAGCAGGGAUGCCAGAGGUGAGAUCAGUGAAAACUAAGCCAAUGCCAGGGACUCUAGCAAUCCCCAAGCUUGGACCUAAGGCUAAGAGCCAUUCUAG
rnacentral:lncRNA from 1 species